CAUGGGUUUAUUCAACGGGCGGACCAACAAAUUCCUGAAAGGCCGGCAAUGCGUUGGCGGUUCCUUUGGUACUUCAAAUGUUGGGCGGCAGUAAUCACUUAACAUCAGGUGAUCCGCCUGCUCGUUUGCUCGCUAUUUUUAUUUAAAAAAAAAAUGGUGCCAACAUGACGGCAGAGGACAAGUUAUAGUGAACAGUCUGUAACGUAACUGAUAGGACCUUGACUGAUUUUCGCAUAGCGUGGAAUACGAUUGUAAAGAGAGAUAAAAAAAACUAUUUUGUUAGUGAGUUUGUAUUGUUUGCGGUAACUCCAAAACAUGUAUUGGGGACAGUUAUGGUGUGAGACAUUUAUUGUUAAAGGAAAAUAUUUUUUAAAUUAAUUCUGGGUCAAGUCUACAAGUGUAUUAUGGCAGCGAACGACAAAGCAUAGAAAUAUUCUGUAUGCUCCUCCGUACCAAAUCUCUAUCGUGAUGGUGUGCCAAUAUUUUAUAUAGGUAUUCUCGCGUCUUCAAUUUGAUUGUAGUUCCAUAAUUUGAUCUUUAAAUCGGCCAAUCACGGCAGCAGUCGAUGUGACAUGACACAGUACAAACCAAUCAUGAUCCUCUUGCGAUGUAAAUAGACGAGAGUUUGUGGCUCCUAUUUUCGAGUCUAUGUUAGAAUCGCGUCUUCUAUAUUUUGUCGUUCACUGACUCUAUGAAUUUACCUAAUGUAAAAAAUAAAAGUAUGGCUAAUCUAUGUAAAGCCAGACGAGAAAAAAAAAGUUGUAAACCUCAACGUAUACAGGCGGAGUGGAGUUGAGCCGAGACUUUUUUAUUUGUAAAUCAUAUUUUGUUAACCAUGAGAUAAAGUUUAUAUUCUUGUGAAAUGCCAUAUUUUUAUAGAGAUAAUAAUUAUUAAUUAUAAUUAAUUUAUCAUUGUUUAUUGACUAUUAUUAAUAUUUACCUGUGAUUCUUAAUUAUUUUGUGCUUAGAUAAAUGAAAGACAAGUUUAUGAAAAGAGAA